UACGUAGGGCGCAAGCGUUUAUCCGGAAUUAUUGGGCGUAAAGAGCUCGUAGGCGGCUUGUCGCGUCGACUGUGAAAACCUGCGGCUCAACCGUAUGGUCUGCAGUCGAUACGGGCAGGCUAGAGUUCGGUAGGGGAGACUGGAAUUCCUGGUGUAGCGGUGAAAUGCGCAGAUAUCAGGAGGAACACCGGUGGCGAAGGCGGGUCUCUGGGCCGUAACUGACGCUGAGGAGCGAAAGCAUGGGGAGCGAACAGG
rnacentral:rRNA from 1 species